GUGAGUUGCAGUUAUUUUCCUUCCAGCUUUCUUCUGUGCUUGCUUUAGAUUGUUUUUCUGCAAAGGGCAGAUGCAGCUGCCCUGGCUGGUGGGCAGUGGAGGGGGAUGACAGCCACUCUGGCUUUGGGCCUCUGUCUGACAUCACCCAGAUUCCUGGGUCCUCUCAGUUAGCAUUUGCCUUUUGUCUGGGUGGUUAAAUUUCUCUUGAAGGAGUAGGAUAAACACCCUCUUGAGUAUUGCUUUUUACACAGACACACACCACACACACACACACACACACACACACAUACACACAGCAUAGUUCAUAGUCACUUGAUUUGCCACCUGCAGUUUAUAAUAGAAUGGACCUGUGGGAUUAUAAACCACUUUAUUUCUGCACAGAAUUUCUCAGCUUGAGGCCAAAUU
rnacentral:lncRNA from 1 species